rnacentral:rRNA from 1 species
CGGUGAUGAGGAGCUUGCUUCUUUGAUCAGUGGCGAACGGGUGAGUAACACGUGAGCAAUCUGCCCUUGACUCUGGGAUAACUGCGGGAAACUGUAGCUAAUACCGGAUACGACCUUCGGAGGCAUCUCUGGGGGUGGAAAGAAUUUUGGUCAAGGAUGAGCUCGCGGCCUAUCAGCUAGUUGGUGAGGUAAUGGCUCACCAAGGCGACGACGGGUAGCCGGCCUGAGAGGGUGACCGGCCACACUGGGACUGAGACACGGCCCAGACUCCUACGGGAGGCAGCAGUGGGGAAUAUUGCACAAUGGGCGCAAGCCUGAUGCAGCAACGCCGCGUGAGGGACGAAGGCCUUCGGGUUGUAAACCUCUUUUAGUAGGGAAGAAGUGACUGGGUUUUCCUGGAAGUGACGGUACCUGCAGAAAAAGCACCGGCUAACUACGUGCCAGCAGCCGCGGUAAUACGUAGGGUGCAAGCGUUGUCCGGAAUUAUUGGGCGUAAAGAGCUCGUAGGCGGUUUGUUGCGUCUGCUGUGAAAACCCGAGGCUCAACCUCGGGCCUGCAGUGGGUACGGGCAGACUAGAGUGCGGUAGGGGAGAUUGGAAUUCCUGGUGUAGCGGUGGAAUGCGCA